UAUACUAAAAGAAGAAUUGGGAAAGAGGCUUGCGCUUAGUUUAGGCACUGCCUGUGACAGCCUCACGCUUCAAGGUCUUUUCCCUCCUCGUCCACUUUCCUGAGGCUUUAAAUAGCCGUUUCGUUAAGGUUAAAGUCUUUUCUUCUUCAUGGCCUCCUCUCGAUUUUGUGAUGCAGCCUGGACUUUGUGCCAUGGCCGCCGAGCCCGCGCUCGCGAUUCAGUCCCCGGCCAAUGCUCGGUGGGUUGAUCAGGAAGGGAAAAUGAGUAGAAUGAGGAGUUUUUCGGCAGUGUAGGCCUUUGGAGCAUGGGUUUUUCCCCCCACACUCGGUUGCCACCCGGACCGUGGAAGUGACUAGAUCGCUGGACUUAGGACCCACGCAACAGAGGGCACCCGUAGGGAAUUUAAGCAACAGAUUCUACUUCAACACAGGAAAGGGUCCUCAUCUUGUUUGUGGUACAGUGUUGCAGAUGUUUCAGAUCCAAGAAACCAAGAGUUUUUCUACGUGGAUCACUGCUCAAAUUGGGUGGCAAGCAAACAGUUGGAUGUUUGUUUUUUUUUUUCUUUUAUUCAAUCUCUUGUUUUUUGUAUUGAAGUAAAGUUUUUAUAAGACCUGCCA